rnacentral:rRNA from 1 species
CGGGACGGGUGGGUAAUGUCUGGGAAACGUGCCUGAUGGAGGGGGAUAACUACUGGAAACGGUAGCUAAUACCGCAUAACGUCGCAAGACCAAAGAGGGGGACCUUAGGGCCUCUUGCCAUCGGAUGUGCCCAGAUGGGAUUAGCUAGUAGGUGGGGUAAAGGCUCACCUAGGCGACGAUCCCUAGCUGGUCUGAGAGGAUGACCAGCCACACUGGAACUGAGACACGGUCCAG